UAUAUUCCUGAAAAAUAAAAAACAAGAUAAAUACGUUUUUUAUACCUUUGAGGUUAAGUAACAGACUUUUCAUCAACUUUUAAAAUAAUAGAAACAGCUACAAUUUAUCUAUUCUUCCAUUCUUCUCUAAAUUAGUUUCUAACUUUUCAAAUUGUAAGUUUCGUUUCUUUAAAUAUUUUAAUUGAAUAAAGAGGUUCAAAUUAUAUAACCUCAAAGAACUAAAUCCCGUACACAUACUUGUAAACAAGGAUUAAUUAGACGCUGAUUUUGUAUAUUCAAAGUUUAUCACAUAACAUUGAUAGUCGUGGCUUUCUCCAAUUGUAAUCGAGUUUAACGAGUUUUAUUUAUAAAAUGAUAAGUCUUUAAAAUAUCAAAGUUAAUUAAAAUAUACAGUGAAAUUUAAAUUGAAAUCUGAAGUAAUAAAUGUAAGUUUAAAUAAGUACCAAUUACAAUUGUCUGCUUUUAUAUAUGCAUAUGUAUAUUUUUGACAAUCAUAUAUGUAUGUACAUAUUGUUACAAAAUGAAUUUGUAAUACAUAUAAUCUUAUAAAUUUC